rnacentral:lncRNA from 1 species
GUGAUGGAAACUUCCUCUCUUAAUUCCAUCUUAAUAUUUUUCAUAAGAUAAAUAAGAAUUGAGCACACAUGGGAUGGUUUACCUGUGAGUCGUGAUCCGGUAACGAUUGCAAUGAAGUCAUAAAACAUAGGACUGCUAAUGCCACUUAGUGUUCCCUUCUUUAAUGAUCCUCCAGGACCAGUUGGAGUGCCAGGGAAACCCUUAAGAAAACUGUGUGACUAUGAGGUUGUAGAAGCAUUUUUCUUGAGUGACAGGGCUGAACAGGAUCUAGAAGUUGAACUCUGUAAGUGUAGCUUGCUUAAAAAGUCAUGAAUGCUGUUCUGCAUUUCUUGUUCUAAUGUUGUAAAAGGUGUAUGAGGAAGGGUGUGGGUACAGAAAUGCCUUUAGUAUGGGGGAUGUACAUCUUUGUGGCAGAUAAAUGCAAUAAUAACUUGGCAUCUUGUUAUGAAAAUUGUGGCUCUGAUUUUUGAAAGUCAUAGACAACACUCUUGCUGCUUUCUGGCAAAAGAAGAGUGUGGAAAGUAACUGGUCAAGUCCAUUCAUAAUGUACAGAACCUAACUGUUUUUAGAUACCUGUUGAUUGAUUAGGAGAUAAAUAGCUUCCCCCCCCUCCCCCCCACCCAUUUAACAGGAACAACUUCCCUUAGAAUUCAGUGUGACCAAAACAGAAACAAAACGGGCGGGAAGAGCUCAUCUCCCCUGGAGUUAUUGCCCACUGUGCACUUCCAAGUUCAAUGCAUUUGCAAUUUACGGCUCAAGAGAACAGAGAAAAUAUGAAGUGCUUUUUGCUGUGCCUCAACACAAACUUUGUGAAGGACAGAAACCAGAUUUGUAAGCAUAAAAUUAGUUGUUCUGUAGUAUAUUUGCACUCUUAUUGGAAUACUUGUAGAAGAAACCAAUCUGAGUGCCACUGGUGUUUUAAUUAUACUGUUUAGCCCUAGAUCCACUGUACUUUGUGUAAAGAACUGUCAGAUAGCUGUAAUUAGUGCUUGAUUUCAGUGUUAUUCCCUAGGUGCAUAGCAAAUGAUGCAUUCAACAUAAUUUGCAUCUGUUAUCACCUUCCUUAGCUAAAUCACAGAUGGCUUGUUCUGUUUUUUCCUUGCCUAUAGCACCUCUUGAAUUGCUAUUUAGUGUUAAUCAUACUAGAGUAAUAUGCAGUGGAUCUCUUUUGCUUCUUUCAAAGCAACUUCACCUUUCA